AGUCUAUGGCAUACCACCCUGAACAUGCCCAAUCACAUCUGACCUCAGAAGUUAAGCUGGAUAGGGCCUGGUUAGAAAUUUGGCUGGGUGAAAUUUUAAAAUUUUUAGAAUU
rnacentral:rRNA from 1 species